UUCCAUUUCCAGAGUGGCUCAUGAUAACACUCAUGGUUCAUGUGCUGCUCUGACUUCGUUCACACCCUCACUGCCCACCGCCCAGUGGUGACCAUGGAGAGGAUUUGUUGAGAGUUUCAGUUUCUCAGGCUGGAAAAUGAAUGUCCAGCCAAUCUCUGCUCUGAACCUCAGAGAAGUGCUUCAUGUGCCUCAGGUCCCUUGUGCCCCCUUGAUCUAAAUGGAAAACAUCGGGAUACCUUGCUUCCUGCCUGUUAGCCCUGAACUCUUGUUCUCUACACAUCUAGAGGCCAGGAGCUGGAUCCGUUGAAGUUCUGUGGGCAUGCUUCUUGUGACUUAAUGAAAGUCUCCAGGAAGAAGGAGCUGGCUGCAUUUUCACUUAUAAAUUAUAUGACAGCUGGAACACGGCAGCUCCAGAUAGGGAAACUGCCUGAAUUUUGACACUGGUUGUGUCCAUGUUGAAGAUAACAGGCAAAAAACUAUUGAUGCAACUGGAGUUGAAAUUAUACCCAUCCUGAUGCUGGAGGUUAUUGCAUUUCUCAACAUCUGAAUGAUUUGUAAUUAUAAUUUAAAAAGGACCCCAGAAAAGAUUUUUGCCGUUAUGCUUUCUUACAGACACAGUCGAGGGAAGAGUAACUCUCUAAGAGGUGUCUUAAAUACUAGCUGGUGAAACACAGUCAAAAGCAUGUGGGGCUGGGCUGGGGAUUUAGCUCAGUGGUUCCACUGCCUGUCUCGCAAGCUCAAGGACUUGAGUUCGAUUCCCAGUACCAAAAAAGAAAAAAAAAAAAAAAAAGCAUGUGGGGAAGGGCCUUUUAUGAUAGUUAGGAGAAGCUCAGUAAGUCAGUCAAGGCUGUUUUAUUAUGCAGAUAUAAGCUGAUAACUUCUCCAUUGACUGAGUUUCUAGUGAUUUAGUUAUCCUUCUCUUCCUAGCACAGAGAUAGACACCACUCCAAACAGAAUUUCCUGUGUAGAUGGAAAUUUCUCUUACAAAUGGGUGCUUUCCCUUUUUUCAGAACAACUUCUGUGUUCACUGUUUCCUAAAAUAAUCAGCUCAAAAUAAUCCUUUUUCUCAAGAGACAUACUUGAGGGCCAGAGAUUUAGCUCAGUGGUGCUGCCGCCUGCCUCGAAAGCACAAGGUCCUGAGUUCGAUCCCCGGUACCAAAAAAAAAAAAAAGAGAGAGAGAGACAUAC